rnacentral:rRNA from 1 species
UGGGGAAUAUUGCACAAUGGGCUACAUACUGAUGCAGCGACGCCGCGUGAGGGAUGACGGCCUUCGGGUUGUAAACCUCUUUCAGCAGGGACGAAGCGCAAGUGACGGUACCUGCAGAAGAAGCACCGGCUAACUACGUGCCAGCAGCCGCGGUAAUACGUAGGGUGCAAGCGUUGUCCGGAAUUACUGGGCGUAAAGAGUUCGUAGGCGGUUUGUCGCGUCGUUUGUGAAAACCAGCAGCUCAACUGCUGGCUUGCAGGCGAUACGGGCAGACUUGAGUACUGCAGGGGAGACUGGAAUUCCUGGUGUAGCGGUGAAAUGCGCAGAUAUCAGGAGGAACACCGGUGGCGAAGGCGGGUCUCUGGGCAGUAACUGACGCUGAGGAACGAAAGCGUGGGUAGCGAACAGG